rnacentral:rRNA from 1 species
CGAGCGGGCCGGGGCCCACUUAGAACACCACCUGCGGAGUCGCUCGUCACUUCGUCGCCGUCUCCGUCGUCUCUCCCCCUUUCCACGCCCCUCCAGAAGCCACCCUGCCGCUGCCGCUCCGAUCCAACCUACCCCCCAUGGCCUUCGCCAGCUCGCUCCUGCCCGCGCCGGCCUCCGGCGUCCGCGCGAGCCACGCCCCGGAGCUCGCCUUCCCGCCGGUCAACAGGAAGGGCGGCGUCUCGCUGCGGCGCCGGGGAGCCCGGCACGGAGUCAGGGCUGAAGUGAAUGAAUCUGCAAGUGCUGUAGCGAUUGAUGCUCUCUCCCAAGUUAAGCAUGUUCUACUUCCGAUCACUGAUCGCAACCCUUACCUUUCAGAAGGCACAAGACAGGCUGCAGCCACAACCACUUCUCUAGCAAAGAAGUAUGGAGCAAGCAUUACAGUAGUUGUUAUUGAUGAUAAGCCAAAGGAGUCAUUUCCAGAGCAUGAUACUCAAAUGUCAAGCAUUAGAUGGCACCUUUCUGAAGGUGGAUUUACAGAGUUUGGGUUGAUGGAGCGCCUUGGAGAAGGAAAGAAGCCGACAGCUAUCAUCGCAGAAGUCGCAGAUGAUUUGGAGUUAGACCUGGUCGUCCUUAGUAUGGAAGCGAUCCACUCGAAGCACGUCGAUGGGAAUUUGCUGGCUGAAUUCAUCCCCUGCCCCAUUCUGGUGCUCCCCCUCUAAUAAUGUCAUCUGUUUCUUUUUGGGGGGCUUUUAUCAUUUCAGAUGAAAUUCCUGACUAUUUCAUGGAUAUGAUGAUGCAUUUUGGGUUAGCUAUUUCAUGGAUAUGCAGGUUUGUGAUCAUGUGAAUAUUCAUAAGAACAAUAAGAGUGGUUCCUUUGUGAAAUUUGCUGUUCUGUUGCAUAAUCCUGUCAUGUAAAUACAUAUACUGCCUUGUUUUUGUAAUAAUUAAAUAAAGAUUUUGCUGUAAAAAAAUGGAGUGUAUUACAAAGAAACGGCCAAAUUGACAUGUAAAAUUCCUGACUCCCCCUCUAAUAAUGUCAUCUGUUUCUUUUUGGGGGGCUUUUAUCAUUUCAGAUGAAAUUCCUGACUAUUUCAUGGAUAUGAUGAUGCAUUUUGGGUUAGCUAUUUCAUGGAUAUGCAGGUUUGUGAUCAUGUGAAUAUUCAUAAGAACAAUAAGAGUGGUUCCUUUGUGAAAUUUGCUGUUCUGUUGCAUAAUCCUGUCAUGUAAAUACAUAUACUGCCUUGUUUUUGUAAUAAUUAAAUAAAGAUUUUGCUGUAAAAAAAUGGAGUGUAUUACAAAGAAACGGC